rnacentral:rRNA from 1 species
GAUGAACGCUGGCGGCGUGCCUAAUACAUGCAAGUCGAGCGAACGGACGAGAAGCUUGCUUCUCUGAUGUUAGCGGCGGACGGGUGAGUAACACGUGGAUAACCUACCUAUAAGACUGGGAUAACUUCGGGAAACCGGAGCUAAUACCGGAUAAUAUUUUGAACCGCAUGGUUCAAAAGUGAAAGACGGUCUUGCUGUCACUUAUAGAUGGAUCCGCGCUGCAUUAGCUAGUUGGUAAGGUAACGGCUUACCAAGGCAACGAUGCAUAGCCGACCUGAGAGGGUGAUCGGCCACACUGGAACUGAGGCACGGUCCAGACUCCUACGGGAGGCAGCAGUAGGGAAUCUGCCGCAAUGGGCGAAGGCCUGACGGAGCAACGCCGCGUGAGUGAUGAAGGUCUUCGGAUCGUAAAACUCUGUUAUUAGGGAAGAACAUAUGUGUAAGUAACUGUGCACAUCUUGACGGUACCUAAUCAGAAAGCCACGGCUAACUACGUG